rnacentral:rRNA from 1 species
GUCUAUGGCCAUACCGCCCUGAAGGCGCCCGGUCUUGUCUGAUCUCGGAAGCUAAGCAGGGUCGGGCCUGGUUAGUACUUGGAUGGGAAAUGUUCAUGGGAUUUUGUGGACAUUUGUACU